rnacentral:rRNA from 1 species
UACGUAGGGCGCAAGCGUUGUCCGGAAUUAUUGGGCGUAAAGAGCUCGUAGGCGGUCUGUUAAGUCCGCUGUGAAAACCCAGGGCUUAACCCUGGGCUUGCAGUGGAUACGGGUAGACUAGAGGCAGGUAGGGGAGAAUGGAAUUCCCGGUGUAGCGGUGAAAUGCGCAGAUAUCGGGAGGACACCGGUGGCGAAGGCGGUUCUCUGGACCUUACCUGACGCUGAGGAGCGAAAGCGUGGGGAGCGAACAGG